CCUCAAAUUUGUCAAUGCUUUGCAAUGCUUGCCGCUGGCGUCGUACGUUGUGGCUUUGCGUCGGGUGCAGGUGGACCUGGCGAGUAGCGAGAACUUCGGGCGCUACCGGGUGCCGGACGAGCGGGCGGAGGAGGCGCAAGAUAUCCACGAGUCGCUCGUGGCGUUGGGCCGCGUCAUCACGGCUCUGGCGGAGAAGAGGCCUCACGUCCCGUACAGAGGGUCCAACCUGACGCGCUUCCUGCGAGACUCGCUGGGAGGGACGACCAAGACCACCAUCAUCGCCACCGUGCCGCAGUUCUCCAGUGACCUUGAGGAGACGCGAAUCACGCUAAAGUACGCCAGCAAGGCCAGGAGCAUCAUCAACGAGCCCGAGGUGGUCAGAGAGUGGGUGCCCGCGGAGGUGAGGCCGGCACACGCGGCACACGACACGCCGGCACACGCGGCUUCCAAUCGACGACACGCUGCGCUCCGGUCCGCAACAUGGC